rnacentral:rRNA from 1 species
GUCCACGCCGUAAACAAUGGAUGCUAGCUGUAAGGAGUAUCGACCCUUCUUGUAGCGAAGCUAACGCGUUAAGCAUCCCGCCUGUGGAGUACGGUCACAAGACUAAAACAUAAAGGAAUUGACGGGGACCCCGCACAAGCGGUGGAGCGUGUUGUUUAAUUCGAUGGUAAGCGAAGAACCUUACCCAGGUUUGACAUCCUCGGAAGGCUUCCGAAAGGAAACUGUGCCGUAAGGAACCGAGUGACAGGUGAUGCAUGGCCGUCGU